rnacentral:rRNA from 1 species
UUCAGCAGCCGCAACGCCUCAAACCAGGUAAUCCAUCUGAAGCUAGCUAGUUUGGGCCUGGCCAGUACUUAGAUGGGAGACCAACUAGGAAAGCUGGGCUGCUGCUGGGA